rnacentral:rRNA from 1 species
GGACCGCCCGCUAAGGUCCCCAAGUUCCAGCCGAGUGGCAAAGGAUGUGCGUCCGCCCAGACAACCAGGAUGUUGGCUUAGAAGCAGCCAUCCAUUCAAAGAGUGCGUAACAGCUCACUGGUCGAGUGGACAUGCGCCGACAAUACACGGGGCUAAGCUGGACACCGAAGCGGCGGGAUUUUGAUUUACAGAAUCGGUAGGGGAGCUUCCCAUGGGCGGAGAAGCCGUCAGGGCGACCGACGGUGGAGCGCAUGGGAGUGAGAAUGCUGGCAUGAGUAGCGAGAGACGAGAGAGUAACUCGUCCGCCGUGAACCCGAGGUUUCCUGGGCAAGGCUAAUCCUCCCAGGGUCAGUCGGGGGCUAAGGCGAGGCCGGGAGGCGUAGCCGACGCGCAGCAGGCAGACAUUCCUGCACCGCGCACGCGGCGCUACGACCGACGGGGCGACGGAUGGGGGUGGCUCGGCGGGGUUCUGGACGUCCCCGUGAUGGAGCGCGGCCCGCGGACCAGGGAAAUCCGGUCCGCACGAGGGCGAGGCUCCGGACGAAGCGAUCAAGCGAAGCGAGUGAGCCCGAGGUCCCUAGAAAAACCCCUAGGCAGGCGCGUGCGCGCCCGUACCGCAAACCGACACAGGUGGGUGGGUAGAACAUACCGAGGCGUCGGGUCAACCAUGGUCAAGGAACUCGGCACAAUGGCCCCGUAACUUCGGGAGAAGGGGUGCCCGCGCGUACGUGAACGGACUUGCUCCGGGAGCGGAGGCGGGCCGCAGUGGAGAGGCCCAAGCGACUGUUUACCAAAAACACAGGACUCUGCAGAAGCCGCAAGGCGACGUAUAGGGUCUGACGCCUGCCCGGUGCCGGAAGGUCACGCGGAGGAGUUAGCGCAUCGCGCGAAGCCCCGAAGCCAAGCCCCGGUAAACGGCGGCCGUAACUAUAACGGUCCUAAGGUAGCGAAAUUCCUUGUCGGGUAAGUUCCGACCUGCACGAAAGGCGCAACGACUUGGGCGCUGUCUCGACCAUGGACCCGGUGAAAUUGCACUGGUCGUGAAGAUGCGACUUACCCGCGGAAGGACGGAAAGACCCCGUGAACCUUCACUGCAGCUUGGCAUUGGCCGCUGGUCCCGCGUGUAGAGGAUAGGCAGGAGGCUAAGAUCCGGAGGCGCCAGCCCCCGGGGAGCCGCCCUUGGAAUACUGCCCUCGCGCGACCGGCGUCCUAACCCGAGGCCGUCAACCGGCUCGGGGACCGUGCCAGGCGGGCAGUUUGACUGGGGCGGUCGCCUCCUAAAGGGUAACGGAGGCGCGCGAAGGUCCGCUCGGGACGGUCGGCAACCGUCCUUUUGAAUGCAAGAGUACAAGCGGGCUUGACUGCGAGGCCCACAAGCCGAGCAGGUGCGAAAGCAGGCUCUAGUGAUCCGGCGGCCCCGAGUGGGUGGGCCGUCGCUCAACGGAUAAAAGGUACUCCGGGG